CCUACGGGGGGCAGCAGUGGGGAAUAUUGCACAAUGGGGGAAACCCUGAUGCAGCGACGCCGCGUGAGUGAAGAAGUAUUUCGGUAUGUAAAGCUCUAUCAGCAGGGAAGAAAAUGACGGUACCUGACUAAGAAGCCCCGGCUAACUACGUGCCAGCAGCCGCGGUAAUACGUAGGGGGCAAGCGUUAUCCGGAUUUACUGGGUGUAAAGGGAGCGUAGACGGCCAGACAAGUCAGAAGUGAAAGCCCAGGGCUCAACCCUGGGACUGCUUUUGAAACUGCCGGGCUGGAGUGCAGGAGAGGUAAGCGGAAUUCCUAGUGUAGCGGUGAAAUGCAUAGAUAUCACACAGAACACCGAUUGCGAAGGCAUCUCACGAAUCCGCGAUUGACGCUGAUGCACGAAAGCGUGGGUAUCAAACAGGAUUAGAUACCCCUGUAGUC
rnacentral:rRNA from 1 species